rnacentral:lncRNA from 10 species
CGCCACUGCACUCUAGCCUGGGCAACAGAGCAGGACUCCGUCUCAAACAAACAAACUAGCCAGGCACGGUGCCACAUGCCUGUAGUCCCAGCUACUUGGGAGGCUGAGACAGGAGGAUUGCUUGAGCCCAGAAGAUGGAGGCUGCAGUGAGCCAUGAUCACACCACUACACUCUAGCCUGGGAGACAGAGUGAGACCCUGUCUUUUAAAACAGAAAGGAAACCUUAAACCUCAGAAUCCCUCUGAUCUAUCAGAGUGGCCUGCACCAUCAAAUCCACAGAUCAAGAGGAGGCCGGGAGGAAGACGAGCCGCGCAUAUGGGGGUAACAGGCCAAGAGUUGGGGAAUGACAUUCUCCCUCAGUUACCUGAAGCUAAACCCCUUUGUCUGCCCCAUUGUCAGCCUUGCUGAGACGGCAUCAUACCCAGGGCGUCGUGGCUAGACACCAGGCCUGUGAGGUGCACGGCCAGCUCCACCCACGGGCUUACUGCAGUGUGUCCCGGCUCCAUCCCGAUGGCC